CCUUUUUAUCAAUCAAUUAAAGGGAGAGAGUAGAAGUAGAAGAGAACAUAGAGAUGGGUAAGAUCGGUUGCAGUGUUGACGGAAACCUGAAUGAAGCAAAGUUCAGUGAGCCUCUUCCAUGGAUUGGCAUCUAUAUAGCAGUAGCAACUCUCGCCUGUGCAAUUAUGAUGGCUGCAGAUCUCAUCCAUGGCAUCCACUGUAGAAAAUUGUGGUUUCCUAGCAAGUACUCCUGCCUUAAUGCCACUUCAUUGACCAUAAUAGCUGUGGCGAUCAAACUGUCAGUGGAUCUAAACACCCCAAUGCCUCGCCACAUUGAUCAGCUUGCAAAACUUAGCAGCGGUGCCUUGAUCUGUACACUGAUGGGUAAUUCUAUGCCUUCUCUUGGAAUCAUGGAAAACAAAGAAAUCUGGAUGAAUAUUAUGGCUCUGGGAAUACUUGUUAUUACUGUUAUUGUUAAUACCCGCAUCCAAUUAGGCACUGGUGUGGUCUAUCUUUACUGGAAAGAGCAUGCAUUAAUCAUGUUUCUCAUGCUUGUUUUGCUUGUAAUCUUGAGCUUUUCAGCUUUAACAGUGCCAACUACAAAGAAAUAUUUAGAACUUAAGUACAAGAAGAAAUACAAAAUGGCUGUGAAAGAAUGCUCAAAUGAGUGUGACAGUGCAGUGCAUAAGAAACUAAGACAAGAUCUAAUGAAGUACUGGAUGAUGGCUCAUACCUGCAGCCCCCAGUUUGUGCUGGGGCGUUCAGUUACAUGCACUGCAGCAGGUGCACUGUGUCUCCUGAGUGCCAUGACUUUAGCUGAGGCCGUGCUGGGAUCAUACUUGAUGCCCGGGUCAUUUAAAUUUUGCAAUGGGGAGUCUGACUAUAAAUGGUCGACCAUCUUGGUUCUCAUCAUACAGACCAUCGCAAUAGUAGUUGGUACCAUUGCUCCUGCAAUUAGAUGGUUUACUGCUAUAAAUUUCAGGUGCCCAUCAACAGGGAAGAAAAGCAGGAAAGAAUUCAGAGUAGAAAAGUACUGGACCCAGUUCUUAGUAGAGAUGAAAGAGUGCCCUUUUACCAUAAGAAUCCAGAGCAGGCAGUGUCGGAAACUUGCCCAUGGUGCAAAAGAUCGAAUUUUGGAUUUGUGUAUCGCAAUGCAAAUCGGAAUUGUGUUGGCAAGCAAAGUUAUUAGAUUCAUUUCGAUAUACUUUAUAAGCAGGAUUUUGUUAUUCUGCAUGUGCUGCAAAAAGUUGAUCUGGUGCAAAUCCAACAACACAUCAAUUGACUCAGGAUCAGACUCGCAGCCCAGCUCAAAACCAGAUCUUAGCCGUUUUGUUUUGCAUCUCGAAGGUGAGAAUGAACUAGUUGAACUGAUGAUGAAGAACAACUGUGAUGCUACUGAUCACUGGAUACAGAAGGGGGGGAAAAACAGCCCAAGCAUCUCCUAGAAUUGUUGGACAAAUCAUCAUCAGGACUCCAUGGAGUGAAAGAAUUUGACAGUGACCUUGUUCUCUCUCUAGAUAAUGAAGAACCUCCACACUGUUGGGCUCUUCCUGUAGUGACUCUAACAGCCAUUGCAAUUGCAAUUCUGAACACCAGCAGUUGUUUACGUAAGCAAUUGAUGCGCAGUGUACAUGAAGGCCUCGUGUAUGUCAAAAUCAUAGAAGAAAACCUCGAUGCACAAAGAGACAUGACUAACAUCAGGAAGGCAGCAUAUACUGUGUGGCUAGGAGUUGAUCUCUAUCAUAAAUGGCUAGAUGUGGAUCUUAAUAGAAUGUAUUUCCAAGCAAAAAGUACAAAGGAAAUACUCGAAGGGCUUGAUGAUGCAGCAAAGAAUAAGUAUGUGGAAUUUAAGAAGACAUGUGAAUCAAUGUCUACUAAAGGAAAGCUAUUCAAAGUGGCCCAUAAUGGUACUGGCUGCUAAUUCCAUGUAUAGAAUAAGCCAAACUAUUCUGCAAAAUUAUGAAAGAAACAGCAUUCAGAGCAGUGAGAAAUUAUUUGAAGCACUAACUGUCAUGAUCUCAGAUAUAUUAGGUGCUUGUCUCACCAACUUACAACAUAUCAUAUCCCUCAAGUGUUUUAGCAGCUCAGAGAAGAAAGUGUGCGGUAUGCAGUUUUCCUUCUUGGUAAAACGGAAAAGAUCCUGGAACUUGUAAACCAGAAAACACUUCCUAGUUUGGGUCCUGAAGAAAUGGCAUGCAUUAAUAAGUUGCGUGCAUUGCACAAGCCAAAGAAUCAGUUGCACUUCCCUGCAUCUUCAACAGAAAGUGACACUGCUUCUUCCAGUUUGAUGGACUUGCACUUAACCAUUGAAUAAAAAAUAUAAACCAGGAGGUUGCAAUAAAAGCAGCUUAUUAUUAUGUUUUUUUUUUUUUUUUGCCAAAGC
rnacentral:misc_RNA from 1 species